UAGGGAUGGCAGGCGGGCGGGUUUUCGCGGGUACCCGAUCCGCCCAAACCCUAUUAGGACGGAUUUGGGUAUUUACAAAACGGAUUUGGGCGGAUUCGGAUUUGAAAAAUUUUACCCGUCUCGGAUUCGGGUAGGGUUCGGGGUUAGGUGAUCGGAUACCCGUUACCCGAACCCGAUUAGCUAUACUUCAAAACUAACCCUAAAUUCCCUUAUCCCUAAUUCAUUUUCUCAUUUUACUCGAGCUUCUCUCUCUGUCGGCGCCUCUCUCCCCCCUUCCCUUCCAAUCGACACCUCUCCCCCACUUCACUAACGACUGUCGGCAGCCCAGUCGGCACCGGCGACAUCUCCUUUCUCUCCCUAGCGACGAUAAAUCUUCUAUCUCCCUAGUCAGCGAUAUCUCCUUCUCUCUCCAGUCGGCGAUAUCUCCCACUUCCCAGUCAACGCCUCUCUCCCC
rnacentral:lncRNA from 1 species